AGUGAACGCUGGCGGUAGGCCUAACACAUGCAAGUCGAACGGCAGCACAGUAAGAGCUUGCUCUUACGGGUGGCGAGUGGCGGACGGGUGAGGAAUACAUCUGAAUCUACUUUUUCGUGGGGGAUAACGUAGGGAAACUUACGCUAAUACCGCAUACGACCUACGGGUGAAAGCAGGGGAUCUUCGGACCUUGCGCGAUUGAAUGAGCCGAUGUCUGAUUAGCUAGUUGGCGGGGUCAAGGCCCACCAAGGCGACGAUCCGUAGCUGGUCUGAGAGGAUGAUCAGACACACUGGAACUGAGACAAGGUACAGACUCCUAAGGGAGGCAGCAGUGGGGAAUAUUGAACAAUGGGAGCAAGACUGAUCCAGCCAUACCGCGUGGGUGAGGAAGGCCUUCGGGUUGUAAAGCACUUUUGUUGGGAAAGAAAAGAAGAAGGUUAAUACCCAGCUGUUCUGAAGGUACAAAAAGAAGAAGCACAGGCUAACUUCGUG
rnacentral:rRNA from 1 species